CCCAGAGCCGGAAGUUCGUCAAACUUGGUCAUUUAGAGGAAGUAAAAGUCGUAACAAGGUUUCCGUAGGUGAACCUGCGGAAGGAUCAUUACAGAAAGUAAACGCGGAUCAAACCGCGAACUUCUAAACCUUUGACGAUUGACUCAUGUUGCCUCGGCGGGUUCUCCCGCCAGAGGAUACAUCAAAACUCCUGUUUUAACGGUGUUGUCUGAGCUACAAGCAACCAAUCAAAACUUUCAACAACGGAUCUCUUGGUUCUGGCAUCGAUGAAGAACGCAGCGAAAUGCGAUAAGUAGUGUGAAUUGCAGAAUUCAGUGAAUCAUCGAAUCUUUGAACGCACAUUGCGCCCCUUGGUAUCCCGAGGGGCAUGCCUGUUCGAGCGUCAUUUCACCACUCAAGCCUGGCUUGGUGUUGGGCGACGUCCCCUUUAGGGACGCGCCUCGAAACGCUCGGCGGCGUGGCACCGGCUUUAAGCGUAGCAGAAUCUUUCGCUUUGAAAGUCGGGGCCCCGUCUGCCGGAAGACCUACUCGCAAGGUUGACCUCGGAUCAGGCAGGGAUACCCGCUGAACUUAAGCAUAUCAAUAAGCGGAGGAAAAGAAACCAACAGGGAUUGCCUCAGUAACGGCGAGUGAAGCGGCAACAGCUCAAAUUUGAAAUCUGGCUCUUUUAGGGUCCGAGUUGUAAUUUGUAGAGG
rnacentral:rRNA from 1 species